UCCCUUAUAGCUCAGUCGGUAAAGAAUCUGCCUGCAAUGCAGGAGACCUGGGUUCGAUCCCUGGGUGGGGAA
rfam:TPA: Bos taurus chromosome 2, whole genome shotgun sequence.